CUCACUGUGAAAAUCAGUGAGAGCACGCAAGCGUCCAUAGGAAAGCAUUAAUAAUGCUUUCCUAUGCUACUGGCUGAAUGCGCGUGCAGCUAGCCGACGGGGAGGAUCGGAGGAGGAGAGCUCCCCGCCCAGCGCUGGAAAAAGGUACGUUUUUCCCCCUUCCCCCCUUCCAGAGCCGGGCGGGAGGGGGUCCCUGAGGUUGGGGCAUCCUCAGGGCACUAUAGUGCCAGGAAAACGAGUAUGUUUUCCUGGCACUAUAGUGGUCCUUUAAGCUAGAGUGGUCCUUUAAGUGUAGCUUACCUUGGUGGUAGCAACCAUGUUAUUCCUUGAGACCACCUUCUGCUCCUGCCGCUUCAUCUGCCGGGAGCCAUGUCAGUACUGUGCUUUCUCACAUGUACUAGAGUACAACAGUGAUGUCUAUGGAGAGUCUCACAAAAGCCUUCACAGGUCACAUCGAUGCCUAAAUGCCAUGCAUUCACUUUGAGUUUAACAUAUCUUAACAAAACACUCAAGUGGUAGAACUGCUUUAAUUAUUAUUAUUAUUAUUAUUGCCAUUUAUAUAGCGCCAACAGAUUCCGUAGCACUUUACAAUAUUAUGAAAGGGGAUUUAACUAUAAAUUUAACUAUAAUGGUCUAACAAACAUAUGGUUACAACUAUAAUUUAACUAUAAUUAUACUCCCAGCCAGCAAACACAUAGAUUGCUGUGAGCAGCACACUAAUUAUAUGGCUUGCCUCCUGGAUCCACAUGCUGGUGAGAGUGUAAUUAGAGAAUAUCAACAAUUGCAUUACUUUUCUGAAGAUGACAGUAUUGGAAUUGCCACAUCUUAAAUAUUUACACUUUAGGUGUCCACUAAAACGAAUGUGUGCAAAAAAAAAAAGUGUUCUCAUGUGGUAUUUGUUAGUGAUUAAAUAUUAGACCAAUACGGGGCAUUAUGCCACCCAUUAAAUAAUGUAAAAGUUGUAACCAUAUGUUUGUUAGACCAUUUUAGUUACUUAUUGCCAUAUGUUACCAUAUUGUAUAAAUGCACUUAAAAAUAUAUUUGAGGCCUAAUUAUAGUAGAUUAUUUGUAAAUAAUUCAGAAG